GUGAUACCUUUGGCAGCACAUAUACUAAAACUGGAACAAAGAGAAGAUUAGCACCCUAUGCAAAAAUGACUUGCAAAUUUAACUUCAUUUCAUUUUUUU
rnacentral:snRNA from 1 species